UGAGUACGAGCUGCUACGGCAGCGAAGUGGGUGAUGUCAUGCUUCCAAGAAAAGCCCUAUACCCGUUAAGGCAUGAUGGCCUGUACCCGAAACCGACACAGGUGGGGUGGUAGAGAAUACCGAGGGGCGCGAGGUAACUCUCUCUAAGGAACUCGGCAAAAUGGCCCCGUAACUUCGGGAGAAGGGGUGCCACCGCAAGGUGGUCGCAGUGAAGAGGCCCAGGCGACUGUUUACCAAAAACACAGGUCUCCGCUAAGUCGCAAGACGAUGUAUGGGGGCUGACGCCUGCCCAGUGCCGGAAGGUUAAGGAAGCUGGUCAGCGUAAGCGAAGCUAGCGACUGAAGCCCCGGUGAACGGCGGCCGUAACAAUAACGGUCCUAAGGUAGCGAAAUUCCUUGUCGGGUAAGUUCCGACCCGCACGAAAGGCGUAACGAUCUGGGCGCUGUCUCGGAGAGAGGCUCGGCGAAAUAGAAUUGUCUGUGAAGAUGCGGACUACGUGCACCCGGACAGAAAGACCCUAUGAAGCUUUACUGUAGCUUGGUAUUGUGCUCGGGCUCGGAAUGCGCAGGAUAGGUGGGAGGCUAUGAACCAUUGCUUGUGGGUGAUGGUGAGCCACUGGUGAGAUACCACUCUUUCCGAGCUAGAGUUCUAACAGCCACCCGUUAUCCGGGGGCUGGACAGUAUCAGGUGGGCAGUUUGACUGGGGCGGUCGCCUCCUAAAAGGUAACGGAGGCGCGCAAAGGUUUGCUCAGGCUGGUUGGAAAUCAGCCGACGAGUGUAAAAGCAGAAGCAAGCUUGACUGUGAGACCUACAAGUCGAACAGGGAGGAAACUCGGCUUUAGUGAUCCGACGGUUCUGCGUGGAAGGGCCGUCGCUCAACGGAUAAAAGUUACUCUAAGGAUAACAGGCUGAUCUCCCCCAAGAGUUCACAUCGACGGGGAGGUUUGGCACCUCGAUGUCGGCUCAUCGCAACCUGGGGCUGAAGUCGGUCCCAAGGGUUGGACUGUUCGCCCAUUAAAGCGGUACGCGAGCUGGGUUCAGAACGUCGUGAGACAGUUCGGUCCAUAUCCGGUGCAUGCGCAGGAAUAUUGAGAGGAUUUCUCCCUAGUACGAGAGGACCGGGAGGAACGCACCUCUGGUGUACCAGUUAUCGUGCCAACGGUAAACGCUGGGUAGCCAUGUGCGGAGAGGAUAACCGCUGAAAGCAUCUAAGUGGGAAGCCCACCUCAAGAUGAGUAUUCCCAUGGGGUAACCCAGUAAGGUCACGGGAAGAACACCCGUUGAUAGGCUCUACGUGGAAGCGCAGUAAUGUGUGAAGCGGAGGAGUACUAAUAGACCGAGGGCUUGACC
rnacentral:rRNA from 1 species